AUGUUCGGGUCGAAAACAAAAAUUUAGAAACCAUACAAACCGAAGAGAAAAUAUGUUUCAAAAGAAAAAACGAAAAUAAAACAGAAAAAUGGUUUUAAAGCAAACACAACUUCGAUAAUGUCUUGGGACAACUACAGAGUUCGAGCACAUUGAAGACGUUAGGGUUUUAAUGCAAAAUUCAUAGAACGGCAUCGACACAAUUGGCAAGUUACUUAUACACUAUACAAAAUGUUUACUUGUUCUGGUUAAUGAUUGACUAUGAUUGACUAUGAUUGACUACGAUUGAUUACGAUUGAUUCCAAUUGAUCAUCUGGGGGCAUAAUGCACAAUAUGCCAAGGGAGGCUUUUCAACUUUGAGUGUUGAAUAACGUUGAAAUGUUGAACGAAUUUCUUUUCAAGGUUUUUCGUUUAUUGAUUCCAAUGUAUUGUUAAAUAAAAUGCAAUGGAAAUGUAAAUAAAAAAAAAAAAAAUUCAAAAAAUCGAAAAAGCCAAAAUCUUGCAAAAAUCUUUUCUUGAACUGUGGACCUCAAGCAGAAGGCGCGACUGAGCCAAGUAUCGCUUAAAUUUUCCGCUGUCAACAUAUAAAUAUGCCAAACAUUUUAUGUCAGCUGCUGUAGCGCUGCGGGCGCCUCAAUUCGAGCGAUGCCUGUGGCAAGCGCGUUACGUAUACGCCGCAUGGGUCGCACUGAUAGCUGUAUAUCAAUCACACAUUCCAUCAACUGUUAUUAACAUACAUGAAAUGCAGUUGCGGUAAGUGGCAUGUGGCAUGUAGCAUGUAGCAUGUGGGGCUGUGGCAACUUGCAAGUGACAGACCUCAAUAUGAAGA